rnacentral:rRNA from 1 species
GACGAACCGUGCGAACGUUAUUCGGAAUCACUGGGCUUAAAGCGCGUGUAGGUGGGUUGCCACGUCGGAUGCUGAAAUCCCUCGGCUCAACCGAGGAACGGGCACCGAUACGAGCGACCUGGAGGGGGGUAGGGGGAGCUGGAACUUCCGGUGGAGCGGUGAAAUGCGUUGAGAUCGGGAAAGAACACCAGGCGAAAGCACUCUGCUGGGCCGACACUGACACUGAGAGACGAAAGCUAGGGGGAGCAAAUGGG